AUACGGAGGAUCCGAGCGUUAUCCGGAUUUAUUGGGUUUAAAGGGUGCGCAGGCGGGAGAUUAAGUCGGCGGUGAAAUUUUGCAGCUCAAAUUUAAAAGUGCCUUCGAAACUGGUUUCCUUGAGUGGAGAUGAAGUAGGCGGAAUUUGUGGUGUAGCGGUGAAAUUCAUAGAUAUAACGUGGAACUCCGAUUGCGCAGGCAGCUUACUAAACUACUACUGACGCUCAGGCACGAAGGCGUGGGGAUCAAACAGGAUUAGAUACCCUGGUAGUCCACGCAGUAAACGAUGAUUACUAGCUGUUUGCGAUACAAUGUAAGCGGCUGAGCGAAAGCGUUAAGUAAUCCACCUGGGGAGUACGUUCGCAAGAAUGAAACUCAAAUGAAUUGACGGGG
rnacentral:rRNA from 1 species